GACGAACGCUGGCGGCGUGCUUAACACAUGCAAGUCGAACGGAAAGGCCCUGCUUUUGUGGGGUGCUCGAGUGGCGAACGGGUGAGUAACACGUGAGUAACCUGCCCUUGACUUUGGGAUAACUUCAGGAAACUGGGGCUAAUACCGGAUAGGAGCUCCUGCUGCAUGGUGGGGGUUGGAAAGUUUCGGCGGUUGGGGAUGGACUCGCGGCUUAUCAGCUUGUUGGUGGGGUAGUGGCUUACCAAGGCUUUGACGGGUAGCCGGCCUGAGGGGGUGACCGGCCAGAUGGGACUCGGAAUGGGGCCAGAACUCGUGAGGGGUGCAGAAGGGGGGAAAGUCUGACGAAGGGCGGAAGCCUGAUGGAGGAAGGCCGUCGGGGGGUGAACGGCUUUCGGUUGGGAAACCGGUUUGCCGCGUUAGGGGGUGGGGGGACGGGAAAUGGGUAAGAAGCCCCGGCUAACCACGUG
rnacentral:rRNA from 1 species